GACGUAGGGCGCGAGCGUUGUCCGGAUUUAUUGGGCGUAAAGAGCUCGUAGGCGGCUUGUCGCGUCGUCCGUGAAAACCCGGGGCUUAACCCGGCGAGGCGUGCCGAUACGACCAGACUCGAGGCAGGCAGAGGGUGGCGGAAUUCCGGGUGUAGUGGUGAAAUGCGUAGAGAUCCGGAGGAACGCCGGUGGUGCAGACGGCCACCUGGGCCUGUCCUGACGCUGAGGUGCGAAAGCGUGGGGAGCGAACCGG
rnacentral:rRNA from 1 species